rnacentral:rRNA from 1 species
UUUGAACGCUGGCGGCAGGCCUAACACAUGCAAGUCGGACGGUAGCACAGAGGAGCUUGCUCCUCGGGUGACGAGUGGCGGACGGGUGAGUAAUGUCUGGGGAUCUGCCCGAUAGAGGGGGAUAACCACUGGAAACGGUGGCUAAUACCGCAUAACGUCGCAAGACCAAAGAGGGGGACCUUCGGGCCUCUCACUAUCGGAUGAACCCAGAUGGGAUUAGCUAGUAGGCGGGGUAACGGCCCACCUAGGCGACGAUCCCUCCCUGGUCUGAGAGGAUGGCCAGCCACACGGGAAAUGGGACACGGUCCAGAGUCCUACGGGAGGCAGCAGUGGGGAAUAUUGCACAAUGGGCGAAAGCCUGAUGCAGCCAUGCCGCGUGUAUGAAGAAGGCCUUCGGGUUGUAAAGUACUUUCAGCGGGGAGGAAGGCGAUAAGGUUAAUAACCUUGUCGAUUGACGUUACCCGCAGAAGAAGCACCGGCUAACUCCGUGCCAGCAGCCGCCGUAA